AAUGUCGUAACAAGGUUUUCCGUAGGUGAACCUUGCGGAAGGAUCAUUACCAAUUUCGGGGGACUUCGGUCCCUGUCUGAACCCUUGUCUUUUGAGUACCAUUUGUUUCCCUUGGUAGGCUUUGCCUACCAAUUAGGACACUACUUAACCUCUUGUAAUUUGCAAUCAGCGUCAGAAAAAUCAUCAAUAGUUACAAA
rnacentral:misc_RNA from 1 species